CGGCCGGACAAGUCCGUUGGGAAAUCGACGUGCUCAACACGUCGGCGUCCAGCGGAAACUGUCCGGCUUGGGGCCGGAGGACCCGAGGGGUACGUCCGGGGUAGGAGUGAAAUCCUGUAAUCCUGGACGGACCACCGGUGGCGAAAGCGCCUCGGGAGGACGGACCCGACGGUGAGGGACGAAAGCCAGGGUCUCGAACCGGAUUAGAUACCCGGGUAGUCCUGGCCGUAAACGAUGCCCGCUAGGUGUGGCGCAGGCUACGAGCCUGCGCUGUGCCGUAGGGAAGCCGUGAAGCGGGCCGCCUGGGAA
rnacentral:rRNA from 1 species